AUGUUUUGUCUUUAGAGAAAAUACGCUUUACACGUCUCACUCCACCAAGCUUAAUUCAGGUACCUGGAUAGCUUCGGUUCGGGAGGUAAUAUAUGCGGAAGAAGCGCCGACCUCACGGUCAGGCGUGCAUUUAUCAGACCAAGACCAACCCGGGGUUCGCCCCGGUCCCUUUGGUGACUCAGCCGAUCUUACGGUCUUCGUAACGGCAAAAGAUCAUUCUAAUGUCUGCCAACUGAUGGUAGGUUCUGUGCCUACCAUGGUGGCAACGGGUGACGGCCCGGGAAUCAGGGUUCGGUUCCGGAGAGGAGCCUGAGAAACGGCUACCACAUCCAAGGAAGGCA
rnacentral:ncRNA from 1 species